CACGUAGGGGGCGAGCGUUAUCCGGAUUUAUUGGGCGUAAAGAGCUCGUAGGCGGUUUGUCGCGUCUGCCGUGAAAGUCCGGGGCUCAACUCCGGAUCUGCGGUGGGUACGGGCAGACUAGAGUGAUGUAGGGGAGACUGGAAUUCCUGGUGUAGCGGUGAAAUGCGCAGAUAUCAGGAGGAACACCGAUGGCGAAGGCAGGUCUCUGGGCAUUAACUGACGCUGAGGAGCGAAAGCAUGGGGAGCGAACAGG
rnacentral:rRNA from 1 species